AAUGGUUCUGCUCUGCCAAGUCCAGCACAGCCAGCAGCACCAAAAAUUAUUUCUUGUUCAUUUCAUUAUCAAACAUCAAUAAAGGUUAGGUUCAUACAUAGAACAGGUGGGAACA
rnacentral:lncRNA from 1 species